CGCUGGCGGCAGGCCUAACACAUGCAAGUCGAGCGGUAGAGAGAAGCUUGCUUCUCUUGAGAGCGGCGGACGGGUGAGUAAUGCCUAGGAAUCUGCCUGGUAGUGGGGGAUAACGUUCGGAAACGGACGCUAAUACCGCACACGUCCUACGGGAGAAAGCAGGGGACCUUCGGGCCUUGCGCUAUCAGAUGAGCCUAGGUCGGAUUAGCUAGUUGGUGGGGUAAUGGCUCACCAAGGCGACGAUCCGUAACUGGUCUGAGAGGAUGAUCAGUCACACUAGAACUGAGACACGGUCCAGACUCCUACGGGAGGCAGCAGUGGGGAAUAUUGGACAAUGGGCGAAAGCCUGAUCCAGCCAUGCCGCGUGUGUGAAGAAGGUCUUCGGAUUGUAAAGCACUUUAAGUUGGGAGGAAGGGUUGUAGAUUAAUACUCUGCAAUUUUGACGUUACCGACAGAAUAAGCACCGGCUAACUCUGUGCCAGCAGCCGCGGUAAUACAGAGGGUGCAAGCGUUAAUCGGAAUUACUGGGCGUAAAGCGCGCGUAGGUGGUUAGUUAAGUUGGAUGUGAAAUCCCCGGGCUCAACCUGGGAACUGCAUUCAAAACUGACUGACUAGAGUAUGGUAGAGGGUGGUGGAAUUUCCUGUGUAGCGGUGAAAUGCGUAGAUAUAGGAAGGAACACCAGUGGCGAAGGCGACCACCUGGACUGAUACUGACACUGAGGUGCGAAAGCGUGGGGAGCAAAC
rnacentral:rRNA from 1 species